AUAAGGCUCUUGAGCUUGGGGGUGCACAGCACAAGCAACUGGGUGACGCCUCCAUGGGCCCAGGACAGGCUUUAAAAGACAGCUGAAAGAAAAACAUGCAUGAGGGAGGGAAAAUGGAGUCAGCUUAUUUGUUUAUUUAUUUAUUUGUUUGUUUGUUUGUUUAUUAUCAUGCCCACACAUCUCCCACUGAUCGAAGGAAGCAUUUUAAACAGUUUAUUUACUCCACCUCAGCUCUAUCACAUCCUGCUGUUUGGAUCUCCAUUUUGCAAGCUCCUCCAGGUUCCCUGGCCUCAUCCAAGAGGAACUAACAGAGCACAGCCUCGGAUUCCUUUGCUUCUGUGACAGUGACGCACUUAAAAGUGACUCAGUUUCAGAGAAAGGAAAUUGGAGUGGACAGAGUCAGAAGACUGUGGGACAGACAAGAGAAGGCACAGUGAUGCCCUCAACCCGGUCUCUGCGGGGACUCCACCAAGUAGCCUGUCCUGCCUGCACCCGGCCCUUGCAGGAUGCGGUGACCAUAGCCUGCGGACACACUGUCUGCCUACUCUGCCUCCCGCGCACCCCAAUGGGAUCCCAGCUGCUGUGCCCUCUCUGUCAGGGGGCAGAAGAAGAACAAACCCAGGCCGCAGUAGCCCCAGUGUCCCUAGGUCCUCUGAGCGAGACCUACUGCGAAGAGCACGGAGAGAAGAUCUAUUUCUUCUGCAAGACAGACGCGGAGCUGCUCUGCGUGUUCUGCAGGGAGGGCCCCGCCCACCAGGCACACACUGUGGGGUUCCUGGAUGAAGCCAUCCAACCCUACAGGGAUCGUCUCAGGAGUCGGUUAGAAGCUCUAAGAAUGGAGAGGGACAAGAUAGAAGAUAGGAAAUGUCAAGAAGACCAGAAGCUCCAGGAGGUUCUGAUGCAGGUUGAAAGCAAGAAGCAACAGGUAGAAGCUGCUUUUGAAAGGCUGAAGCGGGAGCUUGUGGACCAGAAGUGCCUCCUGCUGACCAGGCUGGAGGAACUAGAACAGCAGAUCUGCAAGGAGAGGGAGGAGUACAUCAGGAAGGUCUCCCAGGAGGUCGACCGGCUGGGUGCCCAGGUUGAGGAGCUAGAGGAGAAGUGUCAGCAGCCAGCAAGUGAGCUUCUGCAAGAUGACAGGCUCAAUCAGAGCAGAUAUGAGCUAAAGACUUUUGUGAGCCCAGAGGCCAUUUCGUCUGAUCUUGUCAAGAAGAUUCGAAACCUCCACAGGAAAAUACUUUGCCUCCCAAAGAUGAUGAGGACAUUUUCAGGUAAAGGGGUUCUGGAUCCCAUUAGGUGUUCUACCUUCCACCGGUCUCCAUCUUCCCCCUACUUCAAAACGUGGUUCAAACCACCAAGUACAGCACUACAUGCCUGUAAUGCCAGCACCAGGGAGACUGAGGCAGGGGAUCUUAAGUUCCAAGCUAGCUUGGACUACAUAGUGAAACCCAAACGAAAAUAAGCAAACAGCUGGGGUUACGCAUCUUCUCUCCUCACCUUCCCACCAGACCUCACUCUACUCAGGGAGCAAAUCCCCAGAUUGUGGUUUCCUCUGUCCAAGGAUAGAGGCACUGGAGUGAGAGUCCAGGAGGGUGAGGCACACCUCUCUAGUAUCCCUGUCCCCACGCUGCAGCCAGGACACCCUCCCCUUGGUAGCAUCUGUAGGAGAUAUUAAAGUCUCAGGGAUCUUUGUCUCUGUUUUCUUCAGAAAACUUGAUGCAGCAUCUGGAGACAGAUUCAGACUCCUAGGUACUGUACUGCUGCUGUCCUGGCCACUUCACUUUAAGAAGCAAAUCCUCAGACACAGCGGUCACUUCUGUCCUCCAGACACAGAAGCCUAGGAAGCAGGCAGCAUGGACGGAAAGCACUGUCCUGAAGCAGGCAGCAGGAAUCACUCUGAACCCUCAGACCACAACCCCAAGUCCAGGCCUCUCUGUAAUGGCCACUUGGGUGGCAGCUGCACCAUGAAAGUGGCCCCCCAAGGUGACCGGGGUGAGGGGACAGCAGGACCUGGGCACUGAGGACAGUGUCUGAGCCAUGAUGCUUUUGCUCCAACUGGCCAGCACCCACCUGUCAUGCAAAAAGGGACAGCCAUUCUGUGCGGUGUAGACGUGGAUAUGGACUACCAGGCAUGGGAGAGACCCUGCAAAUGUCCCAUACCAAGGCAUCAAUCUCCAUCUUUUUCCAACCCUAUCCCACCUGGGAAGUAAGCUCCUGCCUUUGAAAUGCAUGAGGUGGAGCCAAGUAAGUGUGGCAGACACACCAGCACCUUGGAAACCAGCUCUUUCCCUAGCAUUCAAAGAAAUGAAGUUGGAACAUAGGGUCUUGAAAUCUUGUAGUUUUAAAUUUGCACAUCCAGUACCUUCAGCUCCCUGCAAUCCUGUUCCUGGACAUGCCGAUCUCUCUGAACGGAGAGCCAGAAGCAGACAGGAAGGCAUUGUCCUAGACACCAACAAAGCUAUGAGCCAAUGGGAUUUGGAAGGGAAACAAAAAAACCGUAAAAGCUUCAAAAUGACCAUUGUAGGGUAACCAGGACUCUGUUUGGCUUGUAUUAAUUUAUAAUGACUUUUGGACACAAAGCUGGAGAUGCUUUGGGGCUUCAUCAACAGCUCUGGGUGGACCCCCAAAGCCCCUUCAGGCCAUUUCUCUAGGUUUUGAGAGAAUGUUUUAAUAAAAUAUGUAACCUAA